rnacentral:tRNA from 1 species
GGAUUGUGGUUCAUCGGUAGAGCGCUCGCCUAGCACGUGCGAGGCCCUGGGUUCGAUCCACAGCACCA